rnacentral:rRNA from 1 species
GACGUAGGGCGCGAGCGUUGUCCGGAUUUAUUGGGCGUAAAGAGCUCGUAGGCGGCUUGUUGCGUCAGCUGUGAAAACCCGCAGCUCAACUGUGGGCUUGCAGCUGAUACGGGCAGGCUUGAGUUCGGUAGGGGAGACUGGAAUUCCCGGUGUAGCGGUGAAAUGCGCAGAUAUCGGGAGGAACACCGGUGGCGAAGGCGGUUAGCUGGGCAGUUGCUGACACUGAGGCGCGACAGCGUGGGGAGCAAACAGGG